GACGAACGCUGGCGGCGUGCUUAACACAUGCAAGUCGAACGGAAAGGCCCUGCUUUUGUGGGGUGCUCGAGUGGCGAACGGGUGAGUAACACGUGAGUAACCUGCCCUUGACUUUGGGAUAACUUCAGGAAACUGGGGCUAAUACCGGAUAGGAGCUCCUGCUGCAUGGUGGGGGUUGGAAAGUUUCGGCGGUUGGGGAUGGACUCGCGGCUUAUCAGCUUGUUGGUGGGGUAGUGGCUUACCAAGGCUUUGACGGGUAGCCGGCCUGAGAGGGUGACCGGCCACGUUGGGACUGAGAUACGGCCCAGACUCCUACGGGAGGCAGCAGUGGGGAAUAUUGCACAAUGGGUGGAAGCCUGAUGCAGCAACGCCGUGUGCGGGAUGACGGCCUUCGGGUUGUAAACCGCUUUCGCUCAUGACGAAGCUUUGUGUGACGGUAGUGGGUAAAGAAGCACCGGCUAACUACGUG
rnacentral:rRNA from 1 species